rfam:Schistosoma mansoni strain Puerto Rico chromosome 1, complete genome
AUCCAGUUGACGAGUCCCAAAUAGGACGAACGCGCGUCAAACUGGAU